GCCUCUAUAGCUCAGGGGUAGAGCACUUGCUUCGUAAGCAAGGGGUCAUGGGUUCAAAUCCCAUUAGAGGCU
rnacentral:tRNA from 1 species